UACGUAGGGUGCAAGCGUUAAUCGGAAUUACUGGGCGUAAAGCGUGCGCAGGCGGUGAUGUAAGACAGAUGUGAAAUCCCCGGGCUCAACCUGGGAACUGCAUUUGUGCCUGCAUCGCUGGAGUGCGGCAGAGGGGGAUGGAAUUCCGCGUGUAGCAGUGAAAUGCGUAGAUAUGCGGAGGAACACCGAUGGCGAAGGCAAUCCCCUGGGCCUGCACUGACGCUCGUGCACGAAAGCGUGGGGAGCAAACAGG
rnacentral:rRNA from 1 species